UUUUAAACUCCCACACCUCCCCUGAGCCUACAGAACUGUUAAAAGUAAAUUUAAGGCCUUUAUCUUACCAUCAAUUCACGAAGACUGGCAGCGGUGUUUACGUGGAGUCCACAAUGUGCCACCAGGCUUCCAGGGAUUUGGACACACCCUUCACCUGGAGACAUCUGCUUGGAGCAGGUGGUGGAGACAGAACUGGGCUUUCUGCUGUUUGCUGCUGCUCUACUGUCCAGACUGCCUCAGAGCAUCAGAAUGUGAUGCUUCCCCAUGGUGAGAGGAGUCAAUUUCCUGCAUACAUUUGUGCAGACCAUUUCCAGCAAAUGUUGUUUAAGAUAUCCCUUUUUAUUCUGCAUUACAAGAUGCUGGAAUCACGGCAGCUUUCAAUUUCUGCAGUUCAGCUAAGAGUAGAAAUAAAUCCGCCACUCGUCUGGCAUUUGUUGCUUCAUGUGAUACUACAAACUACUGAGAAAAAUCAGCAUUUCAUCUCCAAGUAUUUCCUUAACCAAUAUACAUGUCUGUUAAAAAUAUCUCCUAAGAGAAAAAUACACCAGUGUAUCUACACUUUGCUUCUCUGAAGAAAGCUCUGCAUAUUUAGGGAGCAUAGCUUUGCUAUCAGAGACACUGUCAAGUUAACUACAGAUACAUAAUUCUGAAAUGUUCUGCUCGUUUAAAAAUGUCUGAAUGUUCAUAUAUCAUUAGUAAGAAUACUGCAGUUAAUUAGUUACAUAGUUAGUUCAAAAAUGUUGUUGAAGCUUCAGUGCCAGCUAAAAGAAUGUUUUCAGGCUCUUUUCUCAGCUUUGUGAGUUUCUGUGCAACUCUAAGCCUCAGUAAGUUUUUGGGUAUGCAGUGUUAAUCUGAAGUAAUGUGAGUUAUGCCGACUCCCUCUUGAGCUACUGACCCAAGGCUGGAAGGCACCUCCGGAGUUAUUCAUUCCAACCUCCUGCCCGAGGUGGGUUCAAUGCCAAGUGCAGGUCAGGUUGCUCAGGGCUUUGGGCUGAGUAUGCAGAGUCCACAGACUUUCUGGUUCCUUGCUUCAGUGCUUAAUCCUAAUGAAGAGCUUUUUUUUUCCUCAUGUCCUUGUGAUUAUUGUCCCUCACCCUUUAAUUGUGCUUCUACAGGAGAAGCAUGGCUGCCUUUUCUGUAAUCUCCUUUCAGGUAGCGAAAGAGAACAACCCAAUUCCUCACCAGCUUUCUCAACUCCAGUCUGAGCAUCCCUAGUGCUUUCAGCCUCUCUGCGUUCAGGAUGUGCUCCAAUCCAUGCUGAUGGACUUUGGCUGGGCUCUCCCCCAGGAUGUCAGCAAACCAAGUUAUAUCUUGUUGGUCCCAUCAGGGAAGGGGAAAAGCUAUAUUCCAAAUUACCUCUGCACUAUGCACUUGAAUUAAGGAACAUAAAGGAGUGUACUGCACUGUGCAAGCAGCAGUGGACUGGCAUGAAGAUAGAUGGUGUCUGAGAUGAGAUGGGGUGAAGAGAAGAAGCAAGAGGGUUUUCUCCAUUGCAGUGAGUCAUGUAAAGCAAGAAAGCACACGCAUUAAUCUCCAGCAGAUACCACCGGCAAGGUAAAAAGAUGUCAUCAAAGCUAAGAAUGCUUUAAAACUACAAUGGAGGAAAAAUGGGUAGAAAAUACUUCUGAAAAGAUGUCUCCCACUGAUAAAAAGCAGUGCGCACAAGAUCUACGGGCAGUUAUCCUAGCUGAAAAUCAGAGCCAAGCUGCGGAAUGAAGACAGGAAAGCCCACUUCACAGAGGACAGGGAUGAAACCUCAUAAGUCAUCUGUCAGGGGGAGCUGAGCCCCAGCACGAUGUGAUGUGGAGGUGUGGUACGUGACAUCUGGGCACUCCCACUGCGCUGCUGGCUGCAGCCAUCUGGCGUUUGACUGUUUUCAAGUCAUUGUUAUGAAGAAUGUUUGCAGAAAAAACCUUGGCACUUGAUCUGAUUUCUCACAUUUCCCCCUCUGAACUCCACGCCCCUGAUGAAGAACCAGACAGGAACGGGACCGGCUGCUCUGUAUGGAGGAGGGCUACAGAGCAGUCUGUGAGAUGGUUCGCAUCACCACUUGCUGUACUGAAGGCAGCAGACAUAGAUGUUAAGCUCAGUGAAAAGAAACUGCAAUGCAGUGCAUCAGCAUCGGGAACAAUAAACAUAAAUCAGACACCUAAUAGUUCUUUCAGAGAAUUGAUUUAAAGUCUGGAUUAUUUCCCAUCCCGGGCAUGCAUCAUAUCCCCCAGCAGCAAACUGAAGGAUGUACCGUGACCCUAGUUACUACAGAAAUGUUCAUGGAUCAGAGACCCUGCAGUCAACCUUCUUGUUCUGACCAAUCAUUAACCAGGAGGAACAUUGUGGAGCUGCCGCUGCUUUUUCCUGAGUUACUUUAACAGACUGACCACAGGCAUGUUCCUUCGUCCUUAGAAGAGUUCCAGAAGAUUAGUCAGCUAAACCUGACAAGGCUUCUGGGAAGCUGGAAAGGACUUGGCUCAGCAUAUUAGGAACUAAGUGAUGAUGACAACCCCGUGGAUUUGUUCACUCCAUCCUAAAGAGGACUUCCCGUCAUAGUACUUUGUGCAUGGAUUUAGGAAAAUUUGAAUGAUUCAAGUAGAGAUCCAUGCGUCUCUCUGCCAUGUACUCCCAGAGGGAGCUGCAAUCAAAACUCCAGGGAUGGAAAGCCAGAGACAGAACCACAAAACGCAGUCCUGAAAUGAGCAAGAACUGGACUUAACACCCAAGUUUUCCUAGUGAGAAAAGUACCUCCAAAAAUUAAACCAAACCAAAGGUAACCUGUGUGUCUUGUGCAAGGAGGAUCAGCUCUGCUCCAGAAUCCACUGCUGUUUCACUGACUGUGACAUAGCAAAAACUAAACGGCUGGCAUAUCAGCCCACCAACAGACAGAUCACAUGCCUUCCACCGAUGAAGUGAGCUAUCUGAUGCUAGCCUUGCUGAAGCUUCAAGUCCCUGCUGCUCUCCCUUUCUUCAGAGAGGACUCCAGCCGGGUUGGUGAUGUUUGCUCACUCAUUGAAAUCACAGAGCUAGUCCACAGCUGCACAAGUCUCACUGCUGGGAGGCUGCCUUCUGCUAGUCGAGUGCCAUGGGAAGGAUCAAGUGGAGGAGAGCUGCACUAAUCAGAAGACACGCUGUCUGGGAAGCAAGCCCAUUUUGUUCUUCCAGAAUCCCUCCCACUGCAAGCACCAGACCUCAAAAUGACCCAGAGAAAGCCUCUCCAAUCCAAGUAUGAGUGUUUUGGAGAACUAUCGUUUGAAGAAUGCAGCUGCUUUUCACUGGUUGGUAUCUACAUGUGUAUGGAGUUCUGUGCAGUGGUUGAAUGUGCAGCGCUUCGAGACCUUUCGGUACGUGGGGAGAUUAAGGAACCACAGAGCUUGAGAGAGAGGAGUUUGCAUCUCUUGUGAGAAUUCUGAUAUCCCUGUGUUCAUAUAUGUUGAUAUUCUCUUCUGAAUGGUGACCUGUUUACGUAGGAUGGAGCCUAAAGACCCAAAGACCCUGGAUAUCCUUGGACUGAGUUGCUUAAGGACACGUUGCUUUCCAAAGACCCUGAAGAAUGGUGCACUACCAAGGAUUUUUCAGUCCUAGCUGGCAGCGGAGGGGCGGUCUGACAAAAUGGCACCUGACAUGGAACUGUGGAUGAGGAAAAGGUUUCUGCUGUGAACCACAUUUGCUCUUGAUCUGAGGGGAUACAGGUGCUACUACAGUCAUCUUCUCAUCUCCUCCUCCACACAGCUUUCCUCCCUGGAAGCUGGAACACAAUCAGCGGAGUUAAUAUGGGUGAAAAUAAACGGAAAACUGUGUUUUUUUUUCCCAGGAUUUGCAGAUGCUGUGACAGGCUGCCUUGGUUAGGAAACAUCAGAAGUGUAAUCAUAUUAAUAGAAUCAUUUUCUUAUGCAUGUGGAAAUGGAGAUGAUGUGUCAUUUACAAGUGAAUGAAGACUCAACACUGGCAACUGCUGGACUGCAUAAUAUGGUCAUAAAAUGCUUCAGUUAUAAUAAGUCUAAGAAAUUAUUGCACAGCUGUAACACAACUGUGGAGAUUAGUAGAGAGUUUCAAUAGAUUUUUAGGUUCUCUCUUUUUAAAAAUACCUUUCAUCCUCAAUGCAGCCUGAUUGCAUAUGGUAUCUGGCAUGAAGGCAAGAAGCAACUACAGCAAAGUCUUGCAGAGAAAACGCUAGCAUUUUUGGAUGUGCUGACAGUGUAUUUCCAGGAGGUGAAGAAAUUCCAGAAGGCAAAUGAUGGGAUGAAAGACAGGAUCAUGGUAUAGACUUUACUCAGAGAUGGAAAUCUGAAGAAAUC
ensembl:lncRNA